CAAUAGCGUAUAUUAAAGUUGUUGCGGUUAAAAAGCUCGUAGCUGGAGUUCUGCCAGGUGCCGCCUGUCCGCCCCAGUGGUGAGUACGUGGCGCGCAUUUGGCCCUUUCAAGGGGAGCGUAUCUGCACUUUAUUGUGUGGUGCGGGAUCCUUGACUUUUACUUUGAGGAAAUAGGAGUGUUCCAAGCAGGCUCUCGUCGUGCACAGCUCAGCAUGGAAUAAUAGCAUUGGACCUCGAUUCUAAGCUGUUGGUUGCCAGAAGCGAGGUAAUGAUGAAGAGGGAUAGUUGGGGGCAUUCGUAUUUAACUGUCGGAGGUGAAAUUCUUGGAUUUGUUAAAGACGGACUACUGCGAAAGCAUCUGCCAUGGAUGUUUUCAUUGA
rnacentral:rRNA from 1 species